rnacentral:rRNA from 1 species
GACGAACGCUGGCGGCGUGCUUAACACAUGCAAGUCGAACGGAAAGGCCCUGCUUUUGUGGGGUGCUCGAGUGGCGAACGGGUGAGUAACACGUGAGUAACCUGCCCUUGACUUUGGGAUAACUUCAGGAAACUGGGGCUAAUACCGGAUAGGAGCUCCUGCUGCAUGGUGGGGGUUGGAAAGUUUCGGCGGUUGGGGAUGGACUCGCGGCUUAUCAGCUUGUUGGUGGGGUAGUGGCUUACCAAGGCUUUGACGGGUAGCCGGCCUGAGAGGGUGACCGGCCACCUUGGGACUGAGAUACGGCCCAGACUCCUACGGGAGGCAGCAGUGGGGAAUAUUGCACAAUGGGCGGAAGCCUGAUGCAGCAACGCCGCGUGCGGGAUGACGGCCUUCGGGUUGUAAACCGCUUUCGCCUGUGACGAAGCGUGAGUGACGGUAAUGGGUAAAGAAGCAUCGGCUAACUACGUG